rnacentral:rRNA from 1 species
ACCAAAUCUUGACAUCCUUUGACAACUCUAGAGAUAGAGUCUUCCCCUUCGGGGGACAAAGUGACAGGUGGUGCAUGGUUGUCGUCAGCUCGUGUCGUGAGAUGUUGGGUUAAGUCCCGCAACGAGCGCAACCCUUAAGCUUAGUUGCCAGCAUUAAGUUGGGCACUCUAAGUUGACUGCCGGUGACAAACCGGAGGAAGGUGGGGAUGACGUCAAAUCAUCAUGCCCCUUAUGAUUUGGGCUACACACGUGCUACAAUGGACAAUACAAAGGGCAGCUAAACCGUGAGGUCAUGCAAAUCCCAUAAAGUUGUUCUCAGUUCGGAUUGUAGUCUGCAACUCGACUACAUGAAGCUGGAAUCGCUAGUAAUCGUAGAUCAGCAUGUUACGGUGAAUACGUUCCCGGGUCUUGUACACACCGCCCGUCACACCACGAGAGUCUGUAACACCCGAAGCCGGUGGAGUAACCAUUUAUGGAGCUAGCCGUCGAAGGUGGGACAAAUGAUUGGGGUGAAGUCGUAACAAGGUAGCCGUAUCGGAAGGUGC